CUCAGGUCCCACUCGCCCUGUGGCCCAUCACCCGCCUGUAGCCAUGGGGAGCCCUCAGGACUUCCGGAGCCUUCAAGCAAAGUUCCAGGCCUCUCAGCUCGAGACCAGCGAACUCCCCAAAAAACCCCUGAAGCCUGAGUUCCACAAACCCCUAAAGAAGCCUCCAACAGCUGAGCUAAGCGAGCACCCCAAAAAGCCCCCGCAGCCCGAGUUCAAUGCAGUGCCCAGGAAGCCUUCGCAGCCCAGUUUCGCUGAUCUGCCCAGGAAGCCCUCCAAACCCGAGUUCAGUGAACCCUCCAAGAAGUUCCCGCAGCUCGGGGCCCCUCAAAAGGCCUUGCCCCCCCCAGAGCCCAAAUCCAGCGCCUUCCCCAAAAAGCUACAGCAGCCUGAGCCCAACGAGGCCACCCCAGACCCCUCACAGCCCAACUUCAGUACCCUCCCCAAGAAGCCCCCGCAGCCUCAGGUCGGUGAGCCCCUUAAGAAGUGCCUGCCGCAGCCUGAGUCCAGGGAGGUCCCUCAGACACCCCCCUGGAAGGUUGAGACUGGUGAGCCCCACCCCCACCCCUCAAAGCCUGACUUCAGUACCCUCCCCAAGAAGCCCCCACAGCCUGAGUUCGGUGGGCACCCCAGAAAGCCCCCGCAGCCUCAGGUCGGUGAGCUCCCUAAGAAAUGCCUGCCGCAGCCUGAGUUCAGUGAGGUCCCUCAGACACCCCCCUGGAAGGCUGAGUCCAGUGAGCCCCACCCCCACCCAUCACAGCCUGACUUCAGUACAUUUCCCAAGAAGAUCCCAGCCCCUCAGCUGAGUGACCUCCCCAAGAAGCUCCUGCACCCUGAUUUUGGAGACCUCACCAGGAGGUCCUCAGAGCCGGAAGUCAGUGUGGUUCCCAAGAGGCCACGGCAGUCCGAAUUCAAAGCACCUUCCAAGAAGCCCCUGCAGCCCGAGCCGGGGGGCCUCCCCAGGGUGGCCUCAGAGCCUGAGUUUGGCCUACUCCCCAGCAAGUUCCUGCAGCCUGAGUGCCAGGGGCCCCCCCGCAAGUUCUCACAGCCCGAGCCCAGUGCUCUGCCCAAGAAGCGCCCGCAUGCCGAGUUCUUUGGUGCUCUUCCCAGAAAGCCCCCUCUCCCUGGCUCUGUUUCGGAGAGCUCGCUCCCCACUGCUGUCGCGGGCCCCGGCCCCAGGCUCCCACUCAGUCUCACUCACAGUGGACGGUCGAGGCUGGGCCUCAAACAGGGCCACCCGCCCCGGCGGAGGCCUCUGCCCCCUGCCAGCAGCCUGGGACCCCCUCCAGCCAAGCCCCCGCUGCCCCCAGGCCCCAGGGACGUUCAGAGCUUCCGGAGAGCCGCGGCUGCAGCCACAGCUCUGAGGAGGGCUCGUUCCGCUGCUGCCAUCCACUUCCAGGAGCAACAGACGAAGGACAUCCCGCAGGACCAGGAUGAGAUCUACGAGCUGUAUGACGACGUGGGGCCCACGGACCACUCCGGCCCCAGCGGCGAGGGCAGAGAUGGGGUGCCAUCUACCCAGCAACCCCCCAGGCCGCCACAAGACCCAGAGCUCAGGAAGGAGAAGGCCCCCCAGCCACAGCAGUUGCCACCUGCAGACCUUAAGUCUCUGAAGCAGAUCCGGAAGGCAGAGAAAGCCGAGAGGGAGUUCCGGAAGAAGUUCAAGUUUGAGGGGGAGAUAGUGAUUCAGACAAGGAUGAUGAUCGAUCCCAACGCCAAGACGCGUCGCGGGGGUGGCAAGUACCUGGGGAUCCGGCGUGGGGAGAUCCUAGAGGUGAUCGAGUUCACCAACAAGGACGAGAUGCUGUGCCGGGACACCAAGGGCAAAUAUGGCUACGUGCCCAGAACCGCUCUACUGCCCCUGGAAACGGAGGUGUAUGACGAUGUUGGCUUCUAGGGUAUGUAGAUGCUCUAGGUGGGCUGGAAGGGAUCACGGUGCCUGGAAGGAGACCCUCUGGAGAGCCAUCCAUUCCCCAGGGGACAGUAAGGCCCACAGGUGUGGGUACCCAGGACAACCUGCCCGCCCAGCCACCUGCUAAACCAGGAGCCUUGGAUCCCAGCUUGGCAGUCACAGAACCAUCCAGGCUGGUGCCUGACUGCAUACAUGAACCACAUAAAGCUCCUAUUUAAAGCGA